CAGCCCUUGACAUCCUCUGACAACCCUAGAGAUAGGGCUUUCGUAGCAAUACGACAGAGAGACAGGUGCUGCAUGGCUGUCGUCAGCUCGUGUGGUGACAUGUUGGGUUAAGUCCCGCAACGAGCGCAACCCUUGUCCUUAGUUGCCAGCAUUCAGUUGGGCUCUCUAAGGAGACUGCCGUGGUGAACACGGAGGAAGGUGGGGAUGACGUCAAGUCCUCAUGGCCUUUAUAUCCAGGGCGACACACGUGAUACAAUGGAUGGUACAGAGGGAAGCCAAAGCGCAAGCUGGAGCCAAUCUCAAAAAGCCAUUCUCAGUUCGGAUUGGAGUCUGCAACUCGACUCCAUGAAGUUGGAAUCGCUAGUAAUCGCGGAUCAGCACGCCGCGGUGAAUACGUUCCC
rnacentral:rRNA from 1 species